rnacentral:rRNA from 1 species
UACGUAGGUGGCAAGCGUUGUCCGGAUUUACUGGGCGUAAAGGAUGCGUAGGCGGACAUUUAAGUCAGAUGUGAAAUACCCGAGCUUAACUUGGGUGCUGCAUUUGAAACUGGGUGUCUAGAGUGCAGGAGAGGUAAGUGGAAUUCCUAGUGUAGCGGUGAAAUGCGUAGAGAUGUGGAGGAACACCAGUGGCGAAGGCGGCUACCUGGACCAGCACUGACACUGAAGCACGAAAGCGUGGGGAGCAAACAGG